rnacentral:lncRNA from 1 species
CCGGUGGCUGCUGGUUCACAUGGCUGGCUGCUAAUGUAAAAGUUUUCCACAGAGAAGUCCCAGAGUUCUAAGAUCUUUCUCCAUCACACCCACCACGGAAGAGCACUCUGGAACAGAAGUGGUUCCGACGGACUAAUUCCAUUUCUCAAUGUCAAACCGGAGUGAGCUGGUAAGACCGCACUGGGGAAGGUGGAAAACAGGACGGAGUUCGGAGCGGGAUUAGAGACAGCUCCAAUUGUUUGUGUAAAAUGGAACUCUACAGUUAGGAAAAAAAAUUACGGUACCAGGAUGGAUGGAUAGACAAAUUGAUGGAUGGGCACAAAGACAGAUGAGUGAAUCCUGUGAGAAGCACGAUAGUUUGUGUACUUACCAACAAAUGAAGACCCGUAAACUCAUUGUGGACAUGCCAAUGACAGUGAUUGCUAAUCAUGUGUAUUCAGCAACAUAUAAACACUCAGCCUUUACUUUCUCUUAUUCAGAUAAAAU